rnacentral:lncRNA from 7 species
CUUCUUCAGAGAUCAUGCAGAACAGCUCAGCUUGGAGAAAGUCCUGAAGUUAACCCAACCAACUUGGAUAGGAAGGGCAGCAGCUUGGCUUUGUGGACAUGAGGCAGGAAGGUGGUGGGAGUUUUGUUCCUCACCUAGGGAUAACACAAGGCAUGUGAGAGCUCAUAAGUGUGUGACUAAGGUCGCCUGGUGUGUUACUUACAGGAAAUGGAUCUUGUGCUGCUGCUACUCCAUGCUCUGGUAUUUUUUGGUAGAAGACGAAUUGUGGUACCACCAAGCAGCUAUCUCCACCCUCUGUUGGGAUUGGACUCUGUAGUUUUCGAUGUACUGAUGACCAAGGCAUAUCAGAAACUUUUGUGAAUAUGGGGCCAAGUAAGAUUAAACAGAAUUCAGACCAGUGAUCAAGAAGCGAAGGGUUGCUCACUCAUUAACAACUCCCUGAGCCAUCACUUUUCCAAGAGCAUUAGGUUUUGUAGGAAUGUCAGGAAAUAUGCAGAAGUUGUGGUGUAAUGUAUGCUUAAGAUGUUGAUGGUCUUUCAAGUUUGAAUGUCUUUGAGCUACUGUAAUUAGUCAGCAGAAGUAUUUAAGAUGCUUUCUUGAAGCAAGUUAAACACUGUUUCCAUUACACGUCACUCAUCAAAGACAGCACCUGAAAUGUGUAUCUGCAGCAUAGCAUCUGGACACUGUUUAUUUUACCCCCAACUUCACUGUAGCUGCAUUCCCCAAAUUUAAUAAUGUUGUGUUAGAACAAGUUGUGCCCAGGGUAACCUGAGUCAGUGAGCAGCAAUUUAGUUUAUGGAAGAGGCACACUGUGUCUCUCCUUCCCUUCCCUCCAAAUGUAGAUUAAAUGAAAAUCUUUCUUACAGAUUGAGUGAAUGCUUUCUAGGAUUUUGUAUCAUAUUGUCAUGGUGUAAACUUGUGUAUUUGGGUCACUGUGUAUUUGUUCUAAGAUGCAAAGAUGAACUGAGCAGAAGUGAAUAUACUCCUCUACAUGUACGUAUGGACAACUACAUAAUUCACUG